AACCUCCGCAAUGUGAGAAAUCGCGACGGGGGGAUCCCAAGUGCCAUUCUUAACGGGAUGGCUUUUCAUUAGUGUAAAGAGCUUUUGGAAUAAGAGCUGGGCAAGACCGGUGCCAGCCGCCGCGGUAACACCGGCAGCUCUAGUGGUAACAAUUUUUAUUGGGCCUAAAGCGUCCGUAGCCGGUUUAAUAAGUCUCUGGUGAAAUCCUGUAGCUUAACUGUGGGAAUUGCUGGAGAUACUAUUAGACUUGAGACCGGGAGAGGUUAGAGGUACUCCCAGGGUAGAGGUGAAAUUCUGUAAUCCUGGGAGGACCGCUGUUGCGAAGGCGUCUAACUGGAACGGUUCUGACGGUGAGGGACGAAAGUUAGGGGCGCGGACCGGAUUAGAUACCCGGGUAGUCCUAACUGUAAACGAUGCGGACUUGGUGUUGGGGUGGCUUUGAGCUGCUUCAGUGCCGAAGGGAAGCUGUUAAGUCCGCCGCCUGGGAAGUACGGUCGCAAGACUGAAACUUAAAGGAAUU
rnacentral:rRNA from 1 species